GGAAACGAGAAUGAAGGAGCAGCCCGAGGCGUGGUGGUGCGGGGAGCGGGGCGGCCUCCGCUCCGUCCCCGCCGAGGGACCGCGCUGGACAAGCAGGAGGCUUCCCUGAGGCGCUGAGGAUGCGGCAGCUCCCGCUGACCCCAUGCAGCAUCAUUUUCGCCGCCCUGCAGCCACCUCCCUGCCUCCAUCCCCUCUCCGGGCGGCCACCGCCAUCCCCCAAACCCCACGGAGGCAUUUUGGCGAGAGAGGAACAGCUUGUUUGAAUUGCUGGGCUGUCACACUGGAAUUAGAUGCAAGAACCCCCCACAUCCAUGACGUAGCGAAGAACUUACAUAACGUAACUAAAAAUAAGGUGAUGGGGAUGCGGAUAGCAGC